AGGGGACCCGGGCAAUAAGGCCGGGCAGCCCGGCCCAGCUCCCCUGUGCUUCCUCACCCCGUGCACGGGAAACCUCUGGAAGGGAGGAGGCUGGAGGCAGAGGAGCCAAGGGGCGGCUCUGCCGGGCAGGGCGCCACCCUGAGGAGAUUCUCCAAGGGCCACCUGCCAGGACAGCUGCCCAGGUGGGUUCGCCGGGUACGUGGGAUUCCCACUUUGUGGCAGUCACUGACCUUCAGUCACCCGGGAGGAAGCCUCAAGGCCACAGGGGCCUCAUAAUCUCCCCACCGAGUUCCUGGAGUCGGCCCUUGGAGGUCAUUUGGGUCAAGGGCAGCAGCCAGGCGUCCGAGUCCAUCUGCCGUCCCUCCCGUCUUCUGGGUCCCCGGAGCCGCAGCCGCGCGUCUAGAGAGCCCAGCAGUGGAGACAAGAAUGAGCCUGACUCCUGCGGCUGGCUGGCGGCUGCCUGGGAGAAUGUCCUCCAUCUGGAGCAGCACAAUCAGAAAGGCAUCUCUUCCUCCAGGCUCAUGCCAAGGGUAUGACUCGCCAGGAUCUUUAAAAAUAGUUUAUAGUGCGUGGUUCUGGCAGAAGAUGCCGUCAACCUCUCCAGUGGACCCAUUGAGUUUUCUUUUUGGUCAUCUUUUACGAUCAGCUCCUGUUCAGAAGCCCCUCAUAAGAGGACCACCAAGAAGUCUGAAGUUCCGAGGGAAUGUCCAGCUGGCGGGGAGGGGGGCCGGAUACCACCAAUGCCCUGAGGAGGGCUUCUUCAGGGUCAGGUUCAUUGUAGCCAAGCUGCCUUUUUUUUUUUUUAAAGGACGUGUGAUCUUCUUGACCUUUCCCAUCCAUUCUUCAUGCUUUUGUGGGACAAAGGCCACUUUGGAAUACAGACAGUCCUAAUUGCCCAUGCUUGAUGAGAUACCAUGUCCUGCUCUGCCAACUGGGUGUGCCAAGUGGAGUUGGCACAUGUGAUGGGGGCAGUUGAAGUGAGUUCAGUGAGGGUACUAUUUAUGGAGGUGUGGACAAGAGCCUACCUGGUAGCUGGAGGGCAUGGGAGCUGGCGGUGUGGUCUAUAGGUUUUCACUCCUUUGUGUGGCUGCUUGGGAGGCACUACCUCCCGGGAAAAUUAAAUAUAGUAAGAGAAUGUGACCACCUGCAGGAACCUGGACUCCGCCGGGGCAGGACCCCAGCAUACUAUGGCAAGAACAAAGGUCCUUGAGGCUGGGGCUGCCUCCUCGACUCUCUGCCGAGGCCCAAGGCUGGGAAGUGUCUGGGAUGCACACGUCACAGGGGCGGCUCUGGCUUCAUCCCCAUCCUCCAUCUCGUGCCCUUUCCCUUCAGAAAGCUCCUGCUGUGGACAGGCGAAAGGAAAGCUCUCGACAAAAUCUUUCAUCUCAGCCCCCUCCCAACUAAAUUAAGACCAAUAAAACUCCCACUCAACAAAUCCACAGGCCAA
rnacentral:lncRNA from 1 species